ensembl:lncRNA
UGUAAUAGAGCCUGCGGCAAGAGGACUGAAGUGAAACAAAGCUUACCUCCUACCUUCAUGAAAACAUAAUUAUUUCCCAUUGUCUGAAAUAGCACAAUAGCAAGAAAUCAAGUUUAAUUUAAUUUUAUAAUUUAUUUCAUGAGUUUACUCACUGUUCCUUUACAGUUUUUGUUCCUUUACAGCAUUACAGUUCUGCUAUAAGAGCAAAGUCAUUUUUCACCUUUAAGAGUGGGAAACUGCAUUUUUUUUCUACCUCUGAGUAGAGCAGUUCUAAAGGUGACUAUUAAAGCAAAACCCAAGUCCCUGAGGAGCAAGGAGGAAUGUACAUCUAAUGUUAAGUGAGGAAUAAGGUCAAUUUACAGUUGUGGCACUUCUCAGGUGCUUUAGGGAGAGUUUAUGUUUCAGAAUAUUGAAGUCUUUUUCAUCUUUGGAGGAGAUUGCAUUAGGUAGAUCUCACAAGUUUGUGUUGUACAGAUAGGUUUGUAGUUAACAGUAGCAUACUCUUGCACAAAAUGUACGUUGCUGAUGUGUGAAACAGUUUGUUUGAACUGUCUGCCAUUAUAUGGAUGGCAUAGCGAGUUGCUAGUGUGAAGUUGUGUACAGCGGUGAUGUUUCAAAUGCUCUUGUGUCUGGAAACUCAGUUAUUUAAGCUAUAGCAUUGGGACACUUUGUGCACCUCCAUGUUCCCUAACUAGCAUCCAAUGUACUGGGUCAUGGAGUUCUAGCUUAGAAUCAGUAAAAAAUAUUUCAUAGAUGCAAAUAUUUUCGUAAGAUGUAUUUGAAAAGCAAGGAAACAUCUGUGCUAGUGAAACAUAAUAGCCGUUACAUACCCUUGCCUCAGCUCAUUACGAUCAACUCUCAGACUAGUGUUGCUCAACAAUUUAUGCAUUUAAGCACUUAUUUCUUCUGUUUUAUGUGCGUUAUUGCUCUAUAACAUGGCUAGCAAAUCACUGUGUAUUGAAUUAUCUUUGCUGAAUGUUCACGUGGAAAGGAAGGCGUUAAAGUGGGUGGAAGCAGGCUUUCUUUUCAAGAUUCAGCGUGAUGCCAGAACCUCUGUUGCCUGCUGCAAUGCUGUCAGCUCCCUCGGUGGGAGAGCUGCCCUCAUUAACACAGCUUUGAGCCUGGAGACAGCACAGAGUAUCUUCAAACAGCAUCCACUGAAUGAGGAAACGUGGCAGACAGAUGUAGCACAACAAAUUUUUCCAUGGCAUCACAUACAAAAUGUAGAAACAAAGGAUCAUUUAUAAGAAGCUUUUCCCUUGUCUACUUCAUUCAGAAUGCUUUUGAUAAUGUGCGUUAAACUUAAAUUGAAAUUAAAAAGCACUUUUUUUUGUAGAUACCUCCUUUUUUUUUUUUUUUGAGCAGUGUUAAUAGCACAGCUGAACACUCAUAAAUGUUCUUGGUUUAAGAAGUAGGGUUUACAAUAGGCGGAAACCUCAUGUAUAUUUGCCUUAUUGAAGGGACAUUAUCUGAGAGAUAUGGAGUAUAAUUUUUCCUUAAACUGUCUCAGCACAUUCAAACAGGUAAGUGAUGCACAACUUGAAGUGCAGUUUGACUUUUUGACAGAAAAAUCAAACUCAUUGCUGAAGCUCAUUUCUUUUUUCAAAAAUUGCAUACAUUAAUCAUUAGCACCUUUAACAAGCUGGAAGAUUGCCAAAUCUAUUUGGUCAAUAACUCUCAGCUUCAAACAAAAUACUGCACUAAUUUCUUUCAGAGUUGUGAAUGAUUUGCCUCCUGUAAAACUGAUGAGCACGAUCACAAAUUUUCUCUUAACAGUGAGGCAUAUGGUAUGUUUUGUAGUUACAAAUUUCCUUGCUAUUAGUUCUUUGGCACAGUUUUAAAAUUCUUUCAAUAUAGCAUUAUGUCUGACAGGAUAGAGAACUUAUUGGCUAAAGUACAGUAAGUGUGUUUAGUACAACUUUUGUUUAAGGCAACAGUGAGGGAGAUG